ensembl:lncRNA
GACCAGGUGUGCUGUGUCUUGUUUUGCACGCUUUGUACAAAAUAAUAAAAUACAAGACGACAGGAUCUUUCUAAACAUAGCUGUUUAUUAGUUAGCUAUAACUGGCAUGUUCAUGUGUCUCCGGCCAUGAUCAACUGGAAAAAAUGACCUCAUGACCUGGGUGGUCUUAACCAAUCAUAUCACAGUAUAAUACGACGGUAGAAUGCAACCAAUGCAUGCUCUGUAGUUUGAACUCAAGAUGCCAGAACUAACAUCAGGGACUACCAUGGCAAGCUUGCAGCCCAUUACUGGAGUGGCAAUGCUGAUGUGUUCAACAAACCAGGCUCGCAGUCAUGUGGGAAAUGGUCAUCAAAAGGAGGAAGAAAGGUCCAGCGCUACACCAACCUACCCUCUCUGCUCCUCUCUCGCUCGCGGAGCCAGGGGAACCUCAACAACCUGGAGUUUGGGACUGCGCCUCAGACCCCACGGCCCCCCCGCUCCCCAUCCAGUAUAGACUUCCACAGCUUCCAAUCCCCACAGCUCUAUGGAGAUCAUUUCUGAUUAAAGAUAGAUAAUAAUUAUUUUAUUUUGCAUCCCAAAUGGCACCCUAUUCCCUAUAUAGUGCAUAUAUAUAUAUAUACACACACACACACACAAAAGGAGUGAACCAUGUAGGGAAUAGGGUGCCAUUUGGGACGUAAUCUUAUUUUUCUAUUACGAUCAUGGCUAUAUCAUGGCUAUAAAGUAUGAUUGGUCACUUCAGAGAAGCACAAAAGGAUUUGAUUGAUUGAAAGUUAAAGUUGUUCAACUGUCUGGCACAGGUCUCUCUCCUUACUAUGGAAUUUAGCAUGUACACUGAACAUAAAUAUGAACGCAACAUGUAAAGUGUUGGUCCCAUUUUUUUAAUGAGCUGAAAUCAAAGAUCCCAGAAAUAUUCCAUAUGCACAAAAAUAAUAUUUCUCUCAAAUUUUGUGCACAAAUUUGUUAACAUCCCUGUUAGUGAGCAUUUCUCCUUUGCCAAGAUAAUUCACAAUUGGCCCAGUGUUAUCCAGGUUUGGUCAGGGUAGGAUGUCAUUGUAAAUAAGAAUUUGUUCUUAACUGACUUGCCUAGUUAAAUAAUAGUUAACAUUAUAAUAAAUUACACAGGUACGCCUUGUGCUGGAGACAAUAAAAGGCCACUCUAAAAUGCUGAUUUUUAUCACACAUCACAAUGCCACAGGUGUCUCAAGUUUUGAGGGAGCGUGCAAUUGGCGUGCUGACUGCAGGAAUGUGCACCAGAGCUGUUGCCAGAGAAUAUAAUGUUCAUUUCUCUACCAUAAUGUUGUUUUAGAGAAUUUAACAGUACGUCCAACCCGCCUCACAACCGGAGACCACGUGAAUGGCGUUGUGUGGGUGAGCGGUUUGCUAAUGUCAAUGAGUGCCC